AUCAGUUGUGCGGAAAUUUUGAAAGUUGGUUCUUCUUUCUGUGAUGUCGUCGCACAGGGACAUUUUCCUCGGGCCGCACGUCUAGCACCGGCAAAGGGCGAUGGCUGCUCGUCUCCUCCAGUUCGUCGCACAGCCAUCGGAUGGCCACCGUCACACAAGCCA
rnacentral:lncRNA from 1 species